rnacentral:rRNA from 1 species
GACGAACGCUGGCGGCGUGCUUAACACAUGCAAGUCGAACGGAAAGGCCCUGCUUGCAGGGUACUCGAGUGGCGAACGGGUGAGUAACACGUGGGUGAUCUGCCCUGCACUUCGGGAUAAGCCUGGGAAACUGGGUCUAAUACCAGAUAGGAGCCAUUUUUAGUGUGAUGGUUGGAAAGUUUUUUCGGUGUAGGAUGAGCUCGCGGCCUAUCAGCUUGUUGGUGGGGUAAUGGCCUACCAAGGCGGCGACGGGUAGCCGGCCUGAGAGGGUGGACGGCCACAUUGGGACUGAGAUACGGCCCAGACUCCUACGGGAGGCAGCAGGGGGGAAUAUUGCACAAUGGGCGCAAGCCUGAUGCAGCGACGCCGCGUGGGGGAUGACGGCCUUCGGGUUGUAAACUCCUUUCGCUAGGGACGAAGCUUUUUGUGACGGUACCUAGAUAAGAAGCACCGGCUAACUACGUG